UCUGGUUAAAGAAUAAGCGUGAUCAAGAAUAGUGACUCCUCGAAAGAAAAGCUCACGCAUAAGAUCAUCUCUUAGAGCUUGGCUAAACCUACUCAAAGUCGUGAUCUCAUCCUCAAUGACAUGACAUUUGGUUCAAAAUUCCUUUUCAUAUAGAGUACUAAUAGUUAACUCAUAAUCUCUGGUUAAAGAAUAAGCAUGAUCAAGAAUAGAGACUCCUCGAAAGAAAAGCUCACGCAUAAGAUCAUCUCUUAGAGCUUGGCUAAACCUACUCAAAGUCGUGAUCUCAUCCUCAAUGACAUGACAUUUGGUUCAAAAUUCCUCAAAUUGUGCAAUAUAGUCGGUCACUAACCGAUUCCCUUGUUUAAGAGCAGUCCAUUGAGUAUAAACUUCAAAAUCUAGGCAACCAUCAAAAGUAGGAAUGUCUAAUUUAUUGUCUCUAAAAGAACUUUCCUUAUGAUCGUAUUGAAAAUAUUUUUGAUCACCUUGUCGACGACAAUAUUGUUUAUUGUGGGACGCUUUAGAAUUAUGAACAUCAAUCGAAUGAGGGAUUAGCUUAAAAUUGUUCGGAUUAGCUUAAAAUUGUUCAGACUAGCAACUAGAUCUCUACUCUUUUGACGAGUAGCAGCUAUCUCGAUUUGGAAAACGGCUAAUUGAGUUUGUAAGUGUUGCUGGCUAGUGACAAGUUGAGCUAAUUGUCUAGUGAGUGCCUCAAAUUGUGAAGAGUCCGUGUCUAGGUACUGAAACGAGGAGUAACAAGACGACCAGUCGACCACUAUGCAUGCACUGUACUAGCAGCUAAAUGACGUGCAAUAGAGAGAGAUCAAUGAACAAUAAGUGCAAACAAUGAUAAGUAACAACUUGAGCAUUUUUUUUUUUUUUGAAAAUUAGAAUUUGUGGUUAUGUUAAUCCAAAUGUAACAAGCUAAUAAUGCUGAUUCGAAUAAAAUAAAAGGCAAGAAUACAAAUGACGAAUCAAAAUCUUUAACCCCGUGGGGUAAGCAGGGUAACGUAGGAAAUUAUUCAGUCAACAAUUCCAAUCAAGUGGUGUAAAGAUAAAAUUUAUGAUAUAACAGCAGCACAAAUUUUAAUUGAUGCAAUUUUUAAAAUAAAGUAGUAGUAUAAACCAAUAAUAAAAAGGGUUCAAGGACUCCCAGUUGUUUGGGUGUGACUAUCUGUAUGUCGAUUGAUCUGAAUUGCCGAUUUAAGAGCCCCAACUAUGCUUCUGUUCUUCCCUUCAUGUCCAAUGGUUUUAGCCCCUGUUGACUAUAACUUGUGCUGGUUUUGGUGUGGACGUAAAACUAAGUAUGGUGACUGUGGCUUUUAGAUUGUUGAGAUGGACGGGGAAAUAUAUGAGUACGGUAACUGUGGUGGAAGUGUAUGAUCUUGGGUUGGUAGUGGUGGCAUGUGGCGAUGAAGUAGUAGUGCGUUGGAUGCCUGGUUACAAUAGAUAAUGAAGUAGUAGUGUGGUGGUGAUUAGAGGCGGCGGCGACACGAGAGUGGUUGUGAGAGAGGAAUCGGGUGAAACUGUGGGACUAUUUGAUAUUAAUGGAUUGGUUAUAAUCGGGUUUGGUCGAAUAUGUGGGACUGGGCUAGAUAGGAAGGGGUUUGGAUCGUCUUAUAGAGAUGGGCCAGCUCAAGUUAGUGUUUUAGGAGUGGGCUUGUGUCGUAGAGAGUAGGUUGAGUUAAUUGGGCUAAACGAAAUUGGGUCUUGUGUAAGUACGAUUGAAUGCUAGGGUUGGAAUUUGUGGAACAAUACUACAAUUGUAGAGAAGAAACUGCAGCGAACGAGAUUUUUAUUUUUGUGGGNUUAAAAGACAUGGAAGAGUGUGGCUAUGUGAAAGAAACAGGUUUUGUUUGGCUCAAACAGAAGAAGAAAACUGAGCAUAAAUUUGAAAAAAUUGAUAAGAGUUGUUCAAUAUGCAACUGAGAUCACAGUCUAUGUUGAGCCAAACAAAAUCAAGAAACUUACUGGUGUCAAGACUGAGUAGCUAUUCAUUUGGAUGACUCCUAGUGACGUAUAUGUCAACGAUCCGCCUAACGGAAAAAUCACCUUCAAGACUCCGACUGGGCUAUCCCGGUGUUUUCCAGUGGAAGCUUUUGCGGUCGAGGAGGAGAUGGAGGAGGUUAACGAAGUUUAACAACAUGCUGAGGUAAAACCAGCUGUUGAAGUGAAGGAAGUGUAAUUUGGUGUUUUAUCUGUUCUUGUUCGCUCUAGUUCUACUAUGAUCAUGGUAUGAAUAAGUUAUAAAUUAGAAGUUUCAAAAUUUCCUUAUUAUUCUAAAAGACAGUAGACCAACAAUCUUUACGCAUACUGUGCAUUAGCAAGUUUCCUUACUUGAUACAGAAUAUAAAAGAGAUUUCAAAAUCUCUUCUUUUGUUCAAGAAACCCCAAAUUAAGACUCGUGAAGGAUAUCUUGGGUUAACUUCUUCCGGACAAUUUUCCCAAAAGAAUAACAUUGUUGUCACUGGCCUGAAGAAUGAGUUUUUCUAGGAGGUACAUGUUAUUAAAUUUUUAGCUACUUACAUAUAUAGGGUUAGUUCCCUUGGGAUUAUUUUCUUUCUAGUAGCAUCUGAGAAUGAGUUUUUCUGCUUCAGCCAAUACUGAUAGUGAUGUAGGACGAAUUAAAGAAUAGAAAGAAGAAGCAAGAAAGAGGGAAGAACCGAAGAAAAUGGGGGGGAAGAAAUCGGAGAACCAGCAGAAAUUCAUGGGGAAGAGGGGAAGGGAGAGGAAGGAGAAGCUAUAGGCAACAAAUCACCAAAAUAUUCUUCAAUUCAUCAAAAACUAAAGAAAAUUACCAGGCAAAUUAGGUUUAAAUAGUAAAAAUAAAACCAUAAGUAGAAUGAGCUUAAGCCAAUACAAGCCCAAUUACAUAAAUAGAAUCUAAAACAUAAAUAAAAUCCAAUUAGAAAUAAAUAAAAUAGAUGAUGUUUUUAUCAACUCUCCUGGGUGGGAGAAAAACUCAACCCUGUCGAGUUGAAAGAUCACUGUAGACUGUAAUCAAUCUGAAACUCCAAAUGCUUCAAGUCAAGCCAUGGGAGACGAUGUUUCUGACAAACCAAGUACCGAAAUUUCAUGAUUGAUAGUACUAAAAACUGUAGUUUAUUUCCAAGAAUAUGAUAUGGUCAAGGGGGGCGGUCUUUCCUUCUAACCAAGUACCGAUACUGGACUCCAAAUAAUCAAUAUUCAUGCACCUCACCUUCAAAAUUUUCACAUGAUUGUACAUAAUGAAGAGCAUAAGAAGCACGUUGAUCUACCCAAUAAACAAGAAAGUACUGAAUCCUGCCAUCAUUGAUCAAUACAACACAUUCAUCUAAAAUAACAUCAAUUUUAUCUUUGUGUGCCGUGACGGAUGGUAUUGAAGUAGAAAUAUCAAUAUAGUCAAGUUGGGGGCCCACAAAGCUAAGUAAAAAUGGAUCAUCAAGUGAAGUAAAAUGGUGUUUGCAAGUAAUGAAGUCCUCAAUAUUUAGAGUAGAAUGAUAGCCAAAAUGUGAUGACAGGUUAAUGACAUAUGUAUUUGAACCAACAUGCUUUAAAAUUUUACAAGGACCAGCAUUGCAUGCUUGUAAUAUAACAAAAUCCCUGAUAUGAAAUUCAAAAUUUCGCUUAUACAAAUCAGCUCGAAGUUUAUAUGAUGCAUUACUUGCUUCAAGUUAUUUAUUGAUUUCGAUAUGCAAGUCAUGAAGAUAAAAUACAAAUGUUUCAACUGACGACGACACACUAGCAUGCGGGGACAUGGGAAUAAGAUCUAACGGCCGCCUAGACUUAUAACUAUGAACAACUUCAAAUGGAUUUAGGCCUAGAGACCGAUUUUCAGAAUUGUUAUAUGCAAUUUGAACAGUUGGAAGGAUCAAAUUCCAAUUUCCAAGAGUUUCUUGCAAAGAACAUGAUUACACAAAUCAUCAAUACCUUUGGAUGGGAUAAGAGUAGGGUACACAACAUUUGACUAAGAGGUAUCGAGAACAAGGGGUACAAUACCUAGACUUAUAAGAAAAGUCCAAAUAUUAUCUAAAGGGGUGUCCUCACUGUCAUCCAAUUCAUCAAAUUCUUCAAGUUUAGGUCUAUAGAUUUGAUUUUCUAAUCACUCAUCUCUCAUUUUCUUUGGUUCUUCAAUGAAUAAGGCUCGAUUAGAACAUUCAGAAGUCCUUAUAGUUGAAGUACUGCAAAUGAGAAGAAGUUAUUGAAGUUUCAAAAUCUUGACCUUUAUUGUCCAACAGAGGAGCAUUAGAUGGGGGAGGACCUAGAAGCGGCUUAACAGGAGAAGGUGGUGUUGAUGAGACGAAAGGGGGAAUGUCACUACGCCUUCGAUACGAAGAAGAAGGUCUUGGGAUAUCAUGACCUUUACAUUUAUUUUCCCAAAUGGGAUGAACAUUAGACGAGGAAGGCUCUAUGAUGGGCUUAUGACAAGGUGGCGCUAAUGACAUGGGUGAAUGAUGGUGAUCGCGCUUUUCAUAUAGAGUACUAAUAGUUAACUCAUAAUCUCUGGUUAAAGAAUAAGCGUGAUCAAGAAUAGUGACUCCUCGAAAGAAAAGCUCACGCAUAAGAUCAUCUCUUAGAGCUUGGCUAAACCUACUCAAAGUCGUGAUCUCAUCCUCAAUGACAUGACAUUUGGUUCAAAAUUCCUCAAAUUGUGCAAUAUAGUCGGUCACUAACCGAUUCCCUUGUUUAAGAGCAGUCCAUUGAGUAUAAACUUCAAAAUCUAGGCAACCAUCAAAAGUAGGAAUGUCUAAUUUAUUGUCUCUAAAAGAACUUUCCUUAUGAUUGUAUUGAAAAUAUUUUUGAUCACUUUGUCGACGACAAUAUUGUUUAUUGUGGGACGCUUUAGAAUUAUGAACAUCAAUCGAAUGAGGGAUUAGCUUAAAAUUGUUCGGAUUAGCUUAAAAUUGUUCAGACUAGCAACUAGAUCUCUACUCUUUUGACGAGUAGCAGCUAUCUCGAUUUGGAAAACGGCUAAUUGAGUUUGUAAGUGUUGCUGGCUAGUGACAAGUUGAGCUAAUUGUCUAGUGAGUGCCUCAAAUUGUGAAGAGUCCAUGUCUAGGUACUGAAACGAGGAGUAACAAGACGACCAGUCGACCACUAUGCAUGCACUGUACUAGCAGCUAAAUGACGUGCAAUAGAGAGAGAUCAAUGAACAAUAAGUGCAAACAAUGAUAAGUAACAACUUGAGCAUUUUUAUUUUUUUUUUUGAAAAUUAGAAUUUGUGGUUAUGUUAAUCCAAAUGUAACAAGCUAAUAAUGCUGAUUCGAAUAAAAUAAAAGGCAAGAAUACAAAUGACGAAUCAAAAUCUUUAACCCCGUGGGGUAAGCAGGGUAACGUAGGAAAUUAUUCAGUCAACAAUUCCAAUCAAGUGGUGUAAAGAUAAAAUUUAUGAUAUAACAGCAGCACAAAUUUUAAUUGAUGCAAUUUUUAAAAUAAAGUAGUAGUAUAAACCAAUAAUAAAAAGGGUUCAAGGACUCCCAGUUGUUUGGGUGUGACUAUCUAUAUGUCGAUUGAUCUGAAUUGCCGAUUUAAGAGCCCCAACUAUGCUUCUGUUCUUCCCUUCAUGUCCAAUGGUUUUAACCCCUGUUGACUGUAACUUGUGCUGGUUUUGGUGUGGACGUAAAACUAAGUAUGGUGACUGUGGCUUUUAGAUUGUUGAGAUGGACGGGGAAAUAUAUGAGUACGGUAACUGUGGUGGAAGUGUAUGAUCUUGGGUUGGUGGUGGUGGCAUGUGGCGAUGAAGCAGUAGUGCGUUGGAUGCCUGGUUCCAAUAGAUAAUGAAGUAGUAGUGUGGUGGUGAUUAGAGGCGGCGGCGACACGAGAGUGGUUGUGAGAGAGGAAUCGGGUGAAACUGUGGGACUAUUUGAUAUUAAUGGAUUGGUUAUAAUCGGGUUUGGUCGAAUAUGUGGGACUGGGCUAGAUGGGAAGGGGUUUGGAUCGUCUUAUAGAGAUGGGCCAGCUCAAGUUAGUGUUUUGGGAGUGGGCUUGUGUCGUAGAGAGUAGGUUGAGUUAAUUGGGCUAAACGAAAUUGGGUCUUGUGUAAGUACGACUGAAUGCUAGGGUUGGAAUUUGUGGAACAAUACUACAAUUGUAGAGAAGAAACUGCAGCGAACGAGAUUUUUAUUUUUGUGGGUGAAACUGAAAUUGCGGAAAAAAACCUAAACUGAAAUUUUUGCGUGUGAACAAUUCUUUUUUUUUUUUUUUUAAACUGCAGGAAAAUAUCUAAAAAAACUGAAAUUCUAGGUGUGAACAGUACCUGUGAACAAUAACUAUCUUUUUUUUUUUUUUAAAAUCAACUAGAAAGAAAAUUGAACAAGAAAAC
rnacentral:lncRNA from 1 species